GUGGGAGAAGAAGAAGGCCGCAACUGAUUGUGAAACUCGUCUUAGGGACGUGUGUGGAUUUUUUAAGAGACUUGUGUGGCACGAAUCAAGCAUCUUUCCAGAGACCAACUGGAAGUGCUAGACCAAAAUUUUGGAUUUUUUUUUUGUAGCGCGCUUUUAUCCGUGUGUUGGAUGUUCGAGGAUCAAAAGGAUGAUCGGGUUGCGUUUGUUUAAGACGGCUGGCAUGUUCGUCAGAGCCAAUAGGCGAACGGGGUGUAAAUUUUUGUCGGGUUUUUAUGGUCGCGUUCGGACAAUUGUUUGCCGAGUUUCGAAUUUUAACUUGGCGACGUCUCACAGUUGUUUCGAAGACUAUACAUAUAUUCUAGGUGCUGAAGAAUGAUUGCUUUGCGAUUUGGGCCGGAUAAGGCUGUUGACUAGAGUCUAAUGUUUGUAGACUUU
rnacentral:lncRNA from 1 species